AUCGCUUCUUGGCCUUUGGGCUAAGAUGAAGUAGAGUAUCUGUUCUUAUCGGUGAAUCCAGUAGCAUUCACUGAGACGUUUGGCUCAGAUAUGACGUCUUACGGUCAAACUUCUAUUUGCUACAGCAAUUUUCCUACUCAAA
ensembl:snRNA U2 U2 spliceosomal RNA